GCGCUCGCGUCGGCAGCACCUCUACUAAAAUACAGAGCGGAUUAGCAUGGCCCCUGUGCGAGGAUGCCGUGCAAGUCCAUGAAGCGUUCCGUAUUGAA
ensembl:snRNA U6 U6 spliceosomal RNA